rnacentral:lncRNA from 1 species
GACGAGGUCGUAGCUCCGACGACCACGCCACAGGCGGCGCAAAGAGCUGACGGCCCAGAUCCUGGCAUCGGGAGCCACGCCGCUGCGCCCGCCGAUGGCGACGGCGAGGAGGAGGAGGAGGCCCCGUCGCCGCGUCCGUCCUCCGCCGGCUGCUACACCUUCCUCCGCUCCGCGUCUCGCCGCGGCGGGCACUGGCGCCUCGACUCCUCCGCCUCCGCGUCCGCGGCGGCGCAUGUGGGUGGAGGUGGGGACGACGAAGGGAGAGAGGAACUUGUUCCCCCGUCGACCUGGCCGUGCUCGAGGCCGGGCCGGUGCGGCGCCUCCUCGCGGCGGCCGGGCGGCGGACCCGCGGUGGCGGUCGCCGUGGACGCGUUGCUGUUCGAGCACCUGUGGUGGCUGCAGCCGACGCCGACUUCGUCCCUCCCCUCACCAUCGUGGGUCAUCGAUUCCCCUAACAGCCGACCCCUCGCGCCGCCCGACUCCGUCGACGUCAUCCCUCCCCUUGCCAUCGUCGGCCGACGCGCCGCCACCGCGCCGCCGCCGCCCUCCCACGCAGCAGAUCCAUGCCGCAAGACGUCCAUCGGCCACAACCGUCGCUGCCCUCCCCUGCAGCAGAUCCACGCCACCGGCCGCCGCCCUCGAUCACAACGUGAUUUGGAGGUGGAGAAGCUUGGCUGCGGCUUCUUCGCCAACACCAGGGUCAACCUUGCCAACGAUAUGGUUGGGUUGGACUCUAUGAGGGUUUCGAGGGCGUGUGCAUUUGUUGACCAUGGCUGCGGGUGCUGGGAUGUCGGUAGCGGUCGUUGUAGUGGCUGCGGCGACGAUUGCUUCUUCCUUGGAUGGGAGCCACCGUUCGCCGACCUUGCUGCCGCCGACGCCCGCAUAUCCUUCCAUGUCUGUGUGCCAGAGGAUUUGUGGGAUGCAAGCAGCAGCAGAAACAGCGACCGAGCACGUCCGAUUCCAGCUACGUUCAGCGUCAUGUAUGGGAAGGUGGGGAUCAGUGCCGACACACACCCCCAGUUCUACCUCCGAUUAUUUCUUCAGCGAUAGUCUUAAUUAAUAGCUCUUGUGGCCAGUCAUUGACAGGCAUGGUGUGUACUUAACUGCUUAUUGAAAUGGUCAGGUUUACUUUCCAUUCGU